rnacentral:rRNA from 1 species
CCUAACACAUGCAAGUCGAGCGGAAACGGCAUAACGGAACCUUCGGGUGAAGAUAUGGACGUCGAGCGGCGGACGGGUGAGUAAUGCUUAGGAAAUUGCCCAGUAGAGUGGGAUAACUAUUGGAAACGAUAGCUAAUACCGCAUAAUAUCUUCGGAUCAAAGUGGGGGACCAUUUGGCCUCAUGCCACUGGAUAUGCCUAAGUGAGAUUAGCUAGUUGGUGAGGUAAGAGCUCACCAAGGCGACGAUCUCUAGCUGGUCUGAGAGGAUGAUCAGCCACACUGGAACUGAGACACGGUCCAGACUCCUACGGGAGGCAGCAGUGGGGAAUAUUGCACAAUGGGCGCAAGCCUGAUGCAGCCAUGCCGCGUGUGUGAAGAAGGCCUUCGGGUUGUAAAGCACUUUCAGCAGUGAGGAAGGGGUAUAACUU